rnacentral:lncRNA from 1 species
CUACACAGUGGCUGUGUAAUUUUUCUGACUUUAUCAGCUAAUUCUGUCAGGCAUCUCAUAGAAAUGGAUAGCUGACUACUAGCGCAUCUUUGCUGAAAGGAGUCUAGCAUGGCUGGCCUCUGAGAGGCUCGACCCAACAGCUGACCCAAAAGAGUCGACCCAACAGCUGACCCAAAAGAGAUGGAGGGACCUACAGCCAAGCAUUACAUGGAACUUAGGAAGUCUAAUGGAAGAGUUUGGGGAAGGAUUGAUGGAUCCAAAAGGAUAGGGAUUCUACAGGAAGAGCAAAAGAGUCAACUAACCUGAACCCUUGGGGGCUCCCAGAGACUGAACCACCAAAGAAAGACUCCCAUUAUACUGCAGAAAGGCAUUGCUGCAUUUGUUUUCCUCUACCAAGUGUCAUCUAGAAGACAGCGCUGAGGAUGAGGGACUGGGCAAAGGCUUUCUCCUGAGUAUUAAGUGUUGUGUUCACUAACAUGUGCAUCCAUCCACAAAUAUAUGUUGAAUGUAUUAUC